UGGGGAAUAUUGCACAAUGGGCGCAAGCCUGAUGCAGCCAUGCCGCGUGUGUGAAGAAGGCCUUCGGGUUGUAAAGCACUUUCAGCGAGGAGGAAGGUGGUGAGCUUAAUACGCUCAUCAAUUGACGUUACUCGCAGAAGAAGCACCGGCUAACUCCGUGCCAGCAGCCGCGGUAAUACGGAGGGUGCAAGCGUUAAUCGGAAUUACUGGGCGUAAAGCGCACGCAGGCGGUUUGUUAAGUCAGAUGUGAAAUCCCCGGGCUCAACCUGGGAACUGCAUUUGAAACUGGCAAGCUAGAGUCUCGUAGAGGGGGUAGAAUUCCAGGUGUAGCGGUGAAAUGCGUAGAGAUCUGGAGGAAUACCGGUGGCGAAGGCGGCCCCCUGGACGAAGACUGACGCUCAGGUGCGAAAAGCGUGGGGAGCAAAACAGGAUUAGAUACCCUGGUAGUCCACGCUGUAAAACGAUGUCGAUUUUGGAGGUUGUGCCCUUGAGGCGUGGCUUCCGGAGCUAACGCGUUAAAUCGACCGCCUGGGGAGUACGGCCGCAAGGUUAAAACUC
rnacentral:rRNA from 1 species